rnacentral:rRNA from 1 species
GUGGGGAAUAUUGCACAAUGGGGGAAACCCUGAUGCAGCAACGCCGCGUGAGUGAUGACGGCCUUCGGGUUGUAAAACUCUGUCUUUGGGGACGAUAAUGACGGUACCCAAGGAGGAAGCCACGGCUAACUACGUGCCAGCAGCCGCGGUAAUACGUAGGUGGCAAGCGUUGUCCGGAUUUACUGGGCGUAAAGGGAGCGUAGGUGGAUAUUUAAGUGGGAUGUGAAAUACUCGGGCUCAACCUGAGUGCUGCAUUCCAAACUGGAGAUCUAGAGUGCAGGAGGGGAGAGUGGAAUUCCUAGUGUAGCGGUGAAAUGCGUAGAGAUUAGGAAGAACACCAGUGGCGAAGGCGACUCUCUGGACUGUAACUGACGCUGAGGCUCGAAAGCGUGGGGAGCAAACAGGAUUAGAUACCCCAGUAGUCC